AAUAAUAACACUUCUAAAAUAUGUCGGCUUAUUGGUGCCAACUAUUAAUUCUAAAAACUCGAGCUACUAGAAACUUAAAGCGUAUAGACACAACGUCCAUAAAUUUUGAUUGUGAACUCGUCCUAACCAAUCUCACGCCAUUUUGAACAUGACCCCACCCAACUUGACAUCCUGCCAGAGGGUACGAUGCUAAACAUGAAUCCCAAAAACUCGAGCUAUUGGAAAGUUAAAGCAUAAAGAGAUAGCGUUCAUGGUUUUUAAUUGUGACUCGGCCCAAUCAGCCUCACGUCAUUCUGAACAUGACUCGAUUCAACCUGGCCUCCUGCUAUAUGGAGGAUCUUGGCCAUUCGGGAAUCGAAUCUGUAACCUCCGAUUUUAAUACCACUUGUUAGAUCGCUGACGCUAACUAUUAAUUCAAAAAGUUUGAAUUAUUAAAAAUACGCAAUCAAUUUACUUAAAGCAUCUAGACACAAUGUCCAGAAAACUUGAUUGUGAUUCAGUCUCACCAACCUCACAACAUUUCGAAUAUAAUUCAAUUCAAUUCGAUCUCUCGUAAUUUCAAAUAUGACUGGAUCCAAUCCGACCUCCUGCAGUAUUAUAGGAUACUGAAUAAUUUUAAGUCAACACAAUACAUAUCU
rnacentral:lncRNA from 1 species